rnacentral:tRNA from 1 species
UGGCUCAGUUGGUAGAGCAUGGUGUUUGCAACGCCAGGGGUGUGGGUUUGAUUCCCAC